AUUAGGAAGGACAAAAACAUGUCAUGAUAUUGACUUCUCAUCAACGAAACGCCCUUCAAUGUUGACUUGCAUACACUCGUUUCUACUACCUACAUACAUUACAUUUUAUUUGGAUUAUAGUCUCUCUCUCUCUUUAAUAUUAUUUUAUCUCCAAGUCUGUCUUCAAUUCUUCUCACUUAUCCAUUAGCUGUCCAACAGUUUAAAAACACACACACACAAAAACCAAAUAUAUUAACUUAUUAAUUCAUGGGUUUGCAUUUACUGAUUGCUUUAAAGCUGAAUUUGUUAGCGUCUUCUCGAAGUUUAAAUACUCCUUUAAUUGUAAGUUUGUUAUGUCCUUUUCUAAUAAGGCUAGCAGCUUGUAAUUUAAAACCUCUCCACCAAAUUUACUCUAAUUUGGUUCGUUCAGUGAGGCUCUUUUUCUUCCAAAUGAGUCAAAUUACACUCAAUUCUCAGCCCCCAACUCGUCGGAGUAGUAUGAGGUGGGAAAGAGCUAUUCGGCUUGUGUACGAGAGAGUGACACGUGUAAGGCAUGUACAGUUCUGGGAGACGGAUGAAGAAAGCUUGCGCGCACUUUCUAUGAUUGCCCUUUGAAGUGAGAAAUUUGGUGGGAGAUAAUUUUCUACAGCAAAGAUAUUUUUCACCGACUCCAAUGGGAAUUUUUUGUGGGGUUGACUGCUAGUUGCAUUGCAGAUUUGCUGUCACUGAACAACUUAACUGGUAGUUUAAUCCUCAUGCCUAUCUCAUCCAGUAGUCCAAGUAACCAGGAACUGAGGCUCGAUCCUGAGGUCCCUUUAAGCAGUAGAUUGACUUGACAGAAGUUGCAGCUGGUGAGCCUCCCUUACUUCGGAAGGCCUGGUUACAAAACUUGUGUGGUUAUGUUAUUUUGAUUUAUAGUUCGACUGGGGCCUUGUCCCAGAGUUCAGACAGAUGAUAUUUUUAGUUAGUAGAGGUUUCGUAGAUUAAAUUCAUGUACUUUGAAUGUUAUGAACUUUAUUUUGUAUUGUCCAGUUGAAUUUAAAAAGUGACCAUGUUUUCGUUUAUUAA